GAAUCUCCGCCCUUGAACUGUGAGACACCGGAGCGCAGAGACGCCAUUGUUUUCUCUCGGCAAGCGACGGACGGACCGCUAGCAUAAUGCCGAAAAAAGUAAAUAACAUGUGCCUGUUGUUGGCUGUACAGACCAACAUAAACCUGUACAUGGACUCCCAGCCUCAGAGGACACAAGAGCAGGUGGAUUGACUUUAUUUUUGAUGGAAAUGUUGGUGAAAAGCUGCGAGUGUGUGGAACCACUUUGUCGGACUGUUCUUCAAGCCGGGGCCAGUGCAACACCGGACUGGAAGAAAAGCUUUUUUUGCAAGAUGGAGCAAUUCCAACUGUCCGUGGCGAAGCUACAGAGGAGAGACAUAGUACAUCACACCAAUCGGCAACACCCAUGUUCCACGGUUUAAAGAACCAUGUAUAUUGGAGUGCAACCUCUUCAACCUCAGGGACUGAGAAGGUGGCCAAGUGGACUUCACUGUUAAACAACAUUCAAAACAUCCAUGGGAAUGAAGAUCCCCUCUUCCCCAAAAACAAAGAAGGGUGAAGCCACCACAAAGCCUGCUAAAACAGAACCCAAAUUCAAUUAUUUGGGUACAUGAUGAGGAUGGUGUUUGAGGACCCAGCACCAUUUGUGGAGAUGAAAAAAUCCCCACCCCCAAGGAUCUGUCAUCCCAAUAUGACAGGCCGUGAAAAGGAGGAAGUGGUUGCUCGCCACAAGUCAGGCUUCAGUCAAGGGGCAGUCGGAAGCCAACAUACUGGUCAGCUGGAUCAGGAAACUCCUGGCGGAUCCGGAGCAUGGCGCGAUGAGGACCCUGUUGUGGCGUCCCACAGCACCAACUGCGAGAAAAACAUUGAGGCAUUAUUGCAGUUGCAAAUUGCCUCUACUGCUUUAUUUUGGAAAAGUGUAUAUUUCUGGUUUCCUCAAAUUCGCAAAA